rnacentral:rRNA from 1 species
GACAGAGGGUGCAAGCGUUGUUCGGAAUUAUUGGGCGUAAAGCGCGCGUAGGCGGCGAGGUAAGUCGAAUGUGAAAUCCCGUGGCUCAACCAUGGAAGUGCAUUCGAAACUGCCUUGCUCGAGUGUCGGAGAGGGUGGUGGAAUUCCCAGUGUAGAGGUGAAAUUCGUAUAUAUUGGGAGGAACACCAGUGGCGAAGGCGACCGCCUGGACGACUACUGACGCUGAGGCGCGAGAGCGUGGGGAGCAAACAGG